GACGAACGCUGGCGGCGUGCUUAACACAUGCAAGUCGAACGGAAAGGCCCUGCUUUUGUGGGGUGCUCGAGUGGCGAACGGGUGAGUAACACGUGAGUAACCUGCCCUUGACUUUGGGAUAACUUCAGGAAACUGGGGCUAAUACCGGAUAGGAGCUCCUGCUGCAUGGUGGGGGUUGGAAAGUUUCGGCGGUUGGGGAUGGACUGGCGGCUUAUCAGCUUGUUGGUGGGGUAGUGGCUUACCAAGGCUUUGACGGGUAGCCGGCCUGAGAGGGUGAACGGCCACAUUGGGACUGAGAUACGGCCCAGACUCCUACGGGAGGCAGCAGUGGGGAAUAUUGCACAAUGGGCGGAAGCCUGAUGCAGCAACGCCGCGUGCGGGAUGACGGCCUUCGGGGUGUAAACCGCUUUCGCCUGUGACGAAGCGUGAGUGACGGUAAUGGGUAAAGAAGCACCGGCUAACUACGUG
rnacentral:rRNA from 1 species